rnacentral:misc_RNA from 1 species
GGGAAAGUGAGUGGGAGAGACAGCACAUGUGUUUGAUUGAGACAAAGCAUCCAUAUGGUUGUAGUGUUGUUGUAGAGCUUGUAGAACUCUUGCUGGUAUUAGAACCGUUGAACUUCCAGAUUUCUUCUUUUUUGGUUCUGUUGUUGGUGUAGGAAGAGGAUUUGGAUUGUUAAUUGUGCGAGGCAAAAAAACUCCAGUUCCAGAUGACCCGUUUUUCGACCCGGAUCCACCGAGAAAUAUGGCCG